AGCCCGAGCCGGGCAGCGCCGCCGCCAUUUUGUGAGCACAGCGCGGCGGACGGGGCGCAGGCUGUUCGAGAUGGUGAAGCUGUUCAUCGGGAACCUGCCGCGGGAGGCGACGGAGCAGGAGAUCCGCUCCCUGUUCGAGCAGUACGGGAAGGUGCUGGAGUGCGACAUCAUCAAGAACUACGGCUUCGUGCACAUCGAGGACAAGACGGCGGCCGAGGACGCCAUCCGGAACCUGCACCACCACAAGCUGCACGGCGUCUGCAUCAACGUGGAGGCCAGCAAGAACAAGAGCAAGGCCUCCACCAAGCUGCAUGUGGGCAACAUCAGCCCCGCCUGCACCAACCUGGAGCUGCGCGCCAAGUUCGAGGAGUACGGCCCCGUCAUCGAGUGCGACAUCGUCAAGGAUUACGCCUUCGUGCACAUGGAGCGGGCGGAGGACGCGGUGGAGGCCAUCCGCGGGCUGGACAACACCGAGUUCCAAGCACGGCCGCCCCGCAGGAGGAUCCCGACGGCGAAGUCCCAACUCUUGUGCCGACGGCGCGGCGUGAAGCCAGGCUGCCGCCCGCCCUCGUAGCCUUGCCCUGCCUGGUAAGAGGGUGAGCGGAGGCGCCCGAUCCCGCGCCGGCCGCGGCCCCGGUGCCGGCGGCACGCGGCAUCUCUCGCUCGGGCUCUCGCCGUCCCGGCGCGGGAGCUUUUGCUGGCAGCCGGGGCCGAGCGGCCGGAUUCGAGCUCGUGGCGAGCGUGUUCUUCGGCCGGCCGGGGCGUCAGGGACGUGUCUGGUGCUUCAGCCGGGGGUUUCAGCAAACCCCGCUGCCCCCGUUCCGGGUGUUCCCCAACAUUACUUCUCCCACCGGGAUGGUGCAGCUGCAUCCGGAGCUUCCCUGGCCGCGGUGACAUCCGUGGGACCAGCAAGUGCCGCGGCUGCGCUUGGCUUGCCUCGUGCCGUGCUCUGGGGUUGUCCGGUGUUGAAUCCGUCUUGCCGCCGCUGGCGGGAGUGUUUUCCGGCGGGAAGCUUGUAGGGGGCCAGCGGUGCCGCGGGCUGAUCCUGGGCUGCUGCGGCAGCACCACCGGGAGCUGGCAAAAAGCCCUCUUGGGCUGCGUGCCGGGGUAGUUGUCAGCUGGUGGAGCCACCAGAGCCCGGCCUGGCUUAGCCUGGCGCGGGCAGCGCUUGGUCUUGCUGGUGUUCUCCUGGUAAGUCGGGUGGCCGGUGGCCGGCUCCCGCUCGAGCCCAUCGUGGGCUCCUCCUGCGCCGGGUUGCUCCCUGCCGCGAGGGUUGGGCUGCGGCCAGUCCCGUCCCGCUGGUGCCGGCGGUUGUGAGUAGCCUCUCGGUGCGGCCUCACUGAUGCCUUCCCUCUCGCGUCUCUCUCCUCAAGGCAAGCGGAUGCGCGUGCAGUUGUCCACCAGCCGGCUGCGGACGGCGCCCGGGAUGGGAGACAAGAGCGGCUGCUACCGCUGCGGGAAGGAAGGGCACUGGUCUAAGGAGUGCCCGGUAGAUCGCCCGGGGCAAGUGGCGGACUUUGCCGAGGCCUAUAACGAGCAGUACGGAGCCGUGCGCACUCCCUACACCGCGGGCUAUGGGGAGACCGUGUAUUACGAUGAGGCGUACGGCGGGAUGGCCGACUACUACAAGCGCUACCGCGUCCGCUCCUACGCCACGGCCUCUGCGUACGACGCCUACGCGGAGCAGACCAUGGCCCAGUACUCCCAGUACGCCCAGUACUCCCAGGUCCAGUCCUCGGCCAUGGCCGCCACCACAGCCAUGGCCAGUCGCAUCCCCACCACCUUAGACGCGUACGAUAGAGCUCUGCUGCCGACCCCGGGCGCGGCGGCCGCCGUCGCCGCUGCCGCCACCGCCGCCGCGGCGGCCGCCUCCUCCACCUAUUACACCCGGGAUAGAAGCCCCCUGCGCCGCACGGCCGCCGCGGCCACCACCGUCGGAGAGGCGUACACGUACGAGCGUGGGCAGCUGUCGCCGGUCUCCUCGGUGGCCCGGGCCUCCCUCUACGACAUGCAGCGGUUCGGGCGGGACCCGUACGCGGACCGGGCGCGGUACUCUGCCUUUUGAGCCGGAGGUGAGCGUGUUGGCACGGCUGCUGCGCGGCGGGAGGGGGAACCCCGGCUGCUGCGGUAACGGGGGGGCUGUGGCCCCCCAGGCGCUGGUUGUGCCGGUCGAGCGUCUGCGCCUCUGUGUGAGCCGCGAUGAAGGGCUGUGGUGAAGCAAGGCCAGGGCUUGCCGGGCGUUAAAGCCCAGGCGCUGGCUCUGGAUGCGCUGCCUGGUGAGGACGUGCCGUGGCAAUCGGUGCUGCUCGUGGAGCUGGUUAGUCCCGGUGGGUCGCUCUCCCUCGCGGCUCCUGCUGCUUUUAAUCCCUCCGCAGCCAGGGCUGAGCCUGUGUGCCGUGCUGGCACAGCCACCGUGGGGUGGGGGGUUCCCACAGAGCCCCCAGCCUUGUGUGCUGUGGCUGCCACACGGAUUCCCUGGGAGUCGCUCCUGCCCGGGACGGCGCUCCCGGGAUCUGCCUGGUAAAAGCCUCCCCCGGCCGGGUUACUGCCCUGGCACGGGUCCUGCCGGGAUGGCCCCGAUCCUGGUGCAGUGCUGCAGCCCAGCAGCCCCCCGCACCACGCCAGGACUCCAGUGUGUCUCAGGAAGCUGCGCCGGGGCUCGGCACGGUCCCCGGCACCACCCCGGCGCCUGCGCCAACUCUGCUUUUCUCUUUUCAGAGGGUGAAUAAUCCACUCGUAGCUUUUUAAUGCUGGAGGCCGCAGCUGAGUGAGGCCGCCGCGCCGCACCGGCACGGGAGGGCCAGCCUUGUGCGUGGAGCUCGCCCCGCGGCACUUAGCGUCCCCCAGCCCCACUGCCCGGUAAAAUAAACUCCAGUUUUUAA